GUACUAGCUUCGGCAGCACAAUAUUAAAAUUGAAAUGGCACAGAGCAUGGCCCCUGCACAAGGAUGACAUGCAAAUUCAUGACGUGUUCCAGCACCUG
rnacentral:snRNA from 1 species